UUUUCAGUGUGUCUACGCGUAACAAUAAGAUAUAUAUGAAUUUUUUUUAAUAUGUUAUGUUAUUAAAUGAAAUGGUUAGUAAAUAAAAGGGUUCUCUUAUAGUUUAAUUAGAUGGACCUAGUAGACUUCUAAAUCAAUACAAUACUAAAAGUUGAAUAAGAGCUCAUCUCAUGCUGUCCACGUCCUCACUAAUAAUCAACCAAUCAAAUAUCAUUUUUCUGCCACAUCACCAAUCAGCUUUCUCAAAAGAAUCGCGUCUCUUUCGAUUGUCAUCUCAUCUUUUCUCCACAAGCAAAAAUGUUUUCCAGAUGAUUGUCUUCUCAACUCCCAUACUUUCCUCCAUCACUCAUAAUUAUCUAUUGAUCCAACCCAUAGAAUCUCUAACAAUAGAUUAAUUCGUCUGUUUGAUUCAAUUUCAUCACCAUCCACAACCGAGACGACGAGGACGAGCAGGAAACUCGAGACUUGGUACCGGAAUCGUCAGAUCUAGCUCUGAACAGACUGGAGAAUCUGUUCCACCAGUGAAACUGUUCUCAGCGAGGUUAAGCCUCACGAGGUUAGUGAGACUGAACAAGCUCUCGGGUAUUUGGCCGGAGAAUCUGUUUCCUUGCAGUUAGAGUUGACGGAGAUCGGAGGAGGUGGUUAGAUCGAGAGAGAGAGAGCCGGCGAGGGCGUUGAGACGGAGGCUCAGUGUUCGGAGACGAGUUAAGUUUCCGAAAACACCGUUCGGGAUGGUGCCGGAGAGAGAGACGCCGGGGAGACGGAGGGCGGUGACUCUGUUGUUGUCGCAUUUUACACCGGCCCAGUUGCACGGCGAGGUUUGUCUGAUGUCCCAGUGGAAUGUGCGGCCGCCGACGGAGGAACGGAGAGAGAGAAGAGCGGCUCUAUCGGCGUUGAGGUCUUGGGUUGAAGGGAGAGGGAGAGAGAGUAGGAGGGUUGUGAGGAGAACAGAGAGAAUCGUCAUGGAGGAGUUGGGGAAGACUCGCAUUGUGCGAUGAUUCAUAGAAGGAGAAGGAGAGAGAGAGAGAGAGAGAGACAGUAUAAGAAAGAGAAGGCUCUUUUGCAGAGCUGUGGUUAUAGAGACAGAAGUGAAAGCAUUCAACAGCCUAAUCCUAGAUGUAACAAACGCUGCUGCAGAAUGAAAAUGGAAUCAUAGUUGCUGAGAGAGUCUUAUUGCUUCUAUACGUAAUUGAUAUUAAAUUAGGUUACUGCUCCUCCAGGUAAAGCUAUUCGUUUAAUCAUUCCUAUUUUUGACUAUGUCUUCUAAAUAUUUAUGCUGAUCUUUGUCAAAAGUUUUUGUAUUCUAGACAGAUAUAAUAAAGAGAAUCGUUGUUAUUUCAUGGUGCUUAAUCUAACUCAGCUGCUUUCUUGAAAUCUCAUUGGUCUGAUUUACUCACAAGUAUAAGGUUUACUCGCUAAACAGGUAAACAGUAUAUGAUAUGGGAAGGAGAAGCAGAUUCAAGCAGUUAUUAUUAAGGAAGACAUUGAUCCUCAACUUAUAAUUCCUACAAGAAUAUGUAUUACUUUGCAUAUUGAGUUCUUUAUGCUUUGGUAUUUCUUUUGUAGCUCAGUGCAAGUAUUUGUUCUGUCAUUAAAACCCUUCAUCUAAAACUACCUCUUUUUCUUAGGAGAGGUGAACCAGCAUGAAAAGGGAUUUGCAGGACCAGAGCGAAUUCAGAAGCUCGUGAAAAACUAUUAUCAGUUUGUUUCUCUCACUAUAUACACAUGGCAGGUAAAAGGAUACACAAAACAGGUAUGAUCAACAUGAUGACAAAUAUCUGAACUUAAUCAUGGCGUAAAUGCCCCAAUGCUCUGCCUGCAAGGGAAAAAUGUUCUAUGUAGUUGAGUUACAUGUCAGAAAACAUCUAAGAUUUUUAUUUGGAUGUUUGGUUCUCUCUUAUACAGGUUGAAGUUGAUGAUGAUUCAGCUGUGCCGGAAAAAUGAGAUGAGCAAGAUGACCAAACUGAGGUAUACCUUCUUCUCUUAUCAUGUUCUGAUAAUCAGUGCCGGCCUUGGACGGAAGCUGAGGAAGCUUGUGCUUCCGGCCGCCGUGAGAUUAUGUUAAUUAGCGGCCACAAAUUUAACAAAAGUUCUCAACAGCACUAAUGGUUGCGAUGCUCUCAUGUGGGCAAGAGGGAGUGAGUUCGAUUCUUCCUCUAUUACUUUUAAAAAAAUAUUAGAAUCAACUAAUUUAUAGGCCACUUUAUUAAUAUUCGCUUAUGGCCUCAUAAAUACUGGGACCGGCUCUGCUGAUAAUUAUAUUGAUAAGCAUCAGAGAAAUAUAUUGAUCCGAAUCAGGGAAUAGCUAGAUGUUCAAGUAUCGUUGCUCACUACUUUUUAACGUGUAACCGAGAAAAAAAAAGUCCAAGAAGGUCGUUGAGAAAUACUGGGAGUGGGAGCUUGCUAAUGAGACGCAACUAAUUUGGGUAAGGAUUUAGGACUGCUCUAUGUAUCUCAUGUGCGCUAAGAAUCAAAAUUAUGGAACCAAUUAAAGAGUUUAUUUCUAUUUGUUGCAGCUCCAUAACUAUAAAGAGGUGACAACAGUGGAGUACAAUGAGUUUUACAGAAUAACUUUCAACAAGUAUUUGGACUCAUUGGCAUCACCGCACUUCACAAUAGAGGUACGUUGGAGGGAAGACAUCUGUUGGAAUAGUAUAUAUCCAUGAAACAAUCCAAGCAGGUUAUGAUUUGUAUCUGUUAAAAAGUGGUGACACCAUGUUGAUCCACUAAUGAUAUAUUGUUCUUAAACUGUUACUGAUAAUUCUCUUAUUGUAGCGUGAGGUCGAGUUUUGAUCCAUGGGGAAGGAUGAUGUGGGUAAUUAAAAGACAAAGAACAUAUGUUUAUGUAAACGAGUUUUCAAAGUUAUUUUGACAGGAAGCUGGUGAGAGAAGUAUCUCUUGGUGUGGCAUUUCAAGAGAUUUGUUUUUCUAUUUUGUAUUGUUAUCCGCUUUUGUGGUGCUUUGUGAACAGAUUCCUCAGUAUUUGAGCUUUAUCGAGGGUGUUUGUGGACUCACACGAUCUUCCAUUAACGUGUAACAUGAUAUUCUUCAAGAAAGUCACACUGUAAGUGUUAAUAUCGAUUUUUUUAUGUGAAGCCCUCGAGAUAUUUGUUAUGUUCUUUUUUUUGAAGUGCCAUAUUCUUAAGCUUACAAUUUUGAAUUAUGUCUCAGAGGUGCAGAUCAUGAAGAAACGUCUGGUGGAGAAAGAUUCUGGUAUGAUUUUGAGAAUUUACCUGAGUGUAAAUAGAGAAGUAUGCUUCAAAAUUUUGACAAUUUCUCUCUCUCUUUUUUGCCAUGUUACAAGUCCAUGAUAUGUUCUUUGAUGAUUUUCCGGACGAAUGAGAAUGACAAUGUUAAACUUUUUACUUACAAAGGACUAUAAUGGUCCAUAUCCAGCACUAAUUUCACAGUUGAGUUAUAUAUUGGCUAACAAAUUUUAGCAUAAAGAAAAGGGAUAUACGUAGAUGUUGUAUAUGUAAUAGCUAGCAUGGGAAACAAAUGAGAUAUGUGAUCUAUUAUGUUGAUCAUUUGUAAUAGCUUUUAUAAGUAUCCAACUUUUGUGCUCAUAUUUUUUUUGUUGGGCAAAGUAUUUUUUCCAGCAGUUUAUAUCAGGAGUCCGCUAUUGCCAUGUAGUAAGAAAUGACUUACAAAUUCUUCUUUAACUCUCAGCAGACUUACUGAAGCUUUGUUUAUCAUUAAUUUUGUCACAUUAUUUUCCUUAUAUAGUAAAUACGACACAGAGUUAGAGAAAAUUGGUAAUAUAUCACUUUUUUAUAAUGAGGUUUGGAUGCAAUCAUAUAUGGCUCGGCUUUCCGUUUUGGUGCAAAGAAAAAUUUGUUUAGGAUAAGGUUAAUUUAGGUUUAGUUACAAAGUGGAUGAUGAUUUAAAAUCCUAGAAACUCGGAAUGACUCAUACCAAAUAUUAUUCCAGGUAUUAUAUAUUUUUUCAAUAUUUACUAUUAAUAUUGAUUAGCAUGUAUUUUUCUUUCCCUUAAUGGGGCGUCAAUAGGAGAAUACAUGUAUCAGCAAUAAACCAAUAACCAACAGUCAUUAGUAUAUAAUGUUGAUUAACAUUAUAUUAUUAGUAUCUAAUAUCUACAAUGCCCUCUAUCUUCAUUUUUAGAACAUCGAUGAUAAAAAAUAAGAACCUCAUGAACGCUAAUAAUAUUUUAAAAGAUAAUACUUAACAGAGAACGACAUAGAGAAACAACAUGAAGUGUUUGAUUGACUGUGGCUUUAAUUGUUUUUCUUUAGGAUGUAUGUUGUAAGCUUUUCUACUGUAAUUAUAGAUUCUAUCGAUGUAGACUUAUAUUAAUAACUUUCAAAAACAUUAUAAAAGUUUAGAAAAAUUGACUUGAAAAACUAAUAUAUUAUUAAUUUAAAUUUUAAGUUGUAGCUUUAAAUUAUUUUCUUAAAGCAUGAUUGGUAAAUUAAAGGAGUUGUGAAAAAAAAACUGUGGAAAGCACACAGAUCACUUACCAACCAUCUCACAAAAUCAUUUUAUUUUUACUAAUAAGCAAUUACAUGUUUACCUUUUAUCAAGGUAUUUGCAAAAAAUAUAUAUUAUAUCCACCAUUUUUGAAAUUAGAAAAUAAAUUCAACUGUUUUAUUUUUCAUGUAUACUUCUAGAAAAUUUGGUGUUUUUUGGUCAAAGAAAAUUUGGUUCUAUUGGUAAGAACUUAAACUCUUAGCCACUAAUUAUACAAAUACGAAUCAGAAAAAUAGAAUGAGCAAAAGAGUUAAGAAAUCAAACAAUUAAAUGAUAAGAUUUAUAACAUAUUUUCUACUAUAAUAAUAUUUUAAAUAAUGUAAUGUGUAUUUUUAUCAUUUGUUUUUUGCAUUUUAAUAAGUUUCACUUCAUUU